GAUCAUGGCUCAGAUUGAACGCUGGCGGCAGGCUUAACACAUGCAAGUCGAAUGGUAACAGGAAUCAGCUUGCUGAUUCGCUGACGAGUGGCGGACGGGUGAGUAAUGUCUGGGAAACUGCCUGAUGGAGGGGGAUAACUACUGGAAACGGUAGCUAAUACCGCAUAACGUCGCAAGACCAAAGAGGGGGGACCUUCGGGUCCGUCCUUGCCAUCGGAUGUGCCCACGAUGGGAGUUAGU
rnacentral:rRNA from 1 species